rnacentral:rRNA from 1 species
UACGUAGGGUGCGAGCGUUAAUCGGAAUUACUGGGCGUAAAGCGUGCGCAGGCGGUUUUGUAAGCCAGAUGGUGAAAUCCCCGGGCUUAACCUGGGAAUGGCAUUUGGGACUGCAAGGCUGGAGUGCGGCAGAGGAGACUGGAAUUCCCGGUGUAGCAGUGAAAUGCGUAGAUAUCGGGAGGAAUACGAUGGCGAAGGCAGGUCUCUGGGCUGACACUGACGCUCAUGCACGAAGCGUGG